GAACAAAACCCAUUGAGCGAACUCGUCCCCAGAACACUCUCGCCUUCUUUAGGCCUGCCCUCUUCUCCUCUCCAAAAAUACUCCCCAAAAUUUUUUUAGGUCACCUCCGAGAACUUCCACUCUUCUUCGUCUUCUUCUCAGUAAUUCUUGAACAAAGAUUCGAUUUUGAUUUCCAGUGUCUCGUCGAGGGAGAGAAGAGGAUGGUUUUUGGGCAGGUGGUCAUCGGACCCCCGGGGUCCGGGAAGACCACUUACUGCAACGGCAUGUCACAGUUCCUCAAACUCAUCGGCAGGAAAGUUGCUGUUAUCAAUUUGGAUCCAGCAAAUGAUGCAUUGCCAUAUGAAUGCACUGUAAAUAUUGAAGAUCUUAUAAAACUUAGUGAUGUUAUGACAGAACAUUCUCUUGGUCCAAAUGGAGGUCUUGUUUAUUGCAUGGACUACCUGGAGAAAAAUAUUGACUGGCUAGAGUCCAAAUUGAAGCCUCUCCUUAAUGAUCACUAUCUUCUAUUUGAUUUUCCUGGCCAAGUUGAACUUUUCUUCCUUCAUUCAAAUGCGAAAAACAUUAUCACUAAACUUGUCGAGAAGUUGAACCUUCGGUUAACUGCUGUUCACCUAGUUGAUGCCCAUUUAUGUUGUGAUCCUGGAAAAUAUGUGAGUGCUCUGCUUCUCUCGCUAACAACAAUGUUACAUAUGGAACUUCCUCACAUCAAUGUCCUGUCUAAGAUCGAUCUUAUUGAGAGCUAUGGGAAACUAGCUUACAACCUUGAAUUCUACACAGAUGUUCAAGAUUUAUCUUAUAUACAGCACCACCUUGAUCAGGAUCCUCGUUCAGCCAAAUACAGAAAGCUCACCAAAGAGCUCUGUGAUGUCAUCGAAGAUUUCAGCCUGGUUAACUUCACGACCUUGGACAUUCAGGACAAGGAAAGUGUCGGGAAUCUUGUGAAGCUGAUUGAUAAAAGCAAUGGAUAUAUAUUUGCCAGCAUACAAGGGAGUGUUGUGGAGUACAGCAAAAUUGCAGCUGCACCUCUUGACUGGGACUACUACCGGACAGCAGCAGUGCAGGAAAAAUAUAUGAAGGAUGAUUAGUAUUUUCAAAAUUGAUGGAGAGUGCGUUGUUGAUGACCAGCUACCCUUUGCAUGCUGCUCGAGGAGAUUGAAAUGCAUGCAGUAGCAGUUCAGACUUCAGCUCAACCAUUCAAAAGUACAAGGGGAUAUUAUGUAUGCGAAACUUACUCGUGGGGACGGGAGCAGGGUUGGCUAUGUACAGGCUGAGGGCAUUAGCACUCGACUGAUAGGGAUAGGGACGGCUCAAUCCGAGCUAAUCUAUCAUUUGAUAAAUGUUCUUCCCAAAAUAGAUGGUUGGGGUAGCAUUGGAAAUUGGUUAACCCGAAAGACUGAUUUUGGGAAUGGAAAUUGGAAAGCUGACAUACGGUUCCGCGUAAGAUCAAGUUGGUGAGCCGUGUGAUGGGAAACCUUUUCGCACGGUUCAGAGAGCACUGAAGACGAGUGAGAGGUUCACCACCACAUCAUUGCAAGGGGAGAUCACUUCGCGGAUUGGUCUAAAGUUUAACUUUCAUAUCAUCUGGGUUCACUUUUGAAUAAUUGUGAAGGUUCUGGCUAGGUGACUGCUACAAAACGAAGUGCUUGAUUUGCAUUCGGCUCAUUAGAAUUUAGAACGUCCAGCCACUAAGCGCUGCAAGCCUGACUUCUGAGCAUUUAUAAUUUUGCUGCCUAUAUAGGCCACUGUGAUGAAGCAGCUAUUACAAAUCUUGAAGCUUGUAUGCUGGAAUUUUGCCUCUUGAGCUUCUUGAUAUUAUGUGUCCACUACCGGUUAAAA